CGUGAACGCUGGCGGCAGGCCUACACAUACAAGUCGAGCGGGGGAAGGCUACUGCUACUGGACCUAGCGGCGGACGGGUGAGUAAUGCUUAGGAAUCUGCCUAUUAGUGGGGGACAACAUCUCGAAAGGGAUGCUAAUACCGCAUACGUCCUACGGGAGAAAGCAGGGGAUCUUCGGACCUUGCGCUAAUAGAUGAGCCUAAGUCGGAUUAGCUAGUUGGCGGGGUAAAGGCCUACCAAGGCGACGAUCUGUAGCGGGUCUGAGAGGAUGAUCCGCCACACUGGGACUGAGACACGGCCCAGACUCCUACGGGAGGCAGCAGUGGGGAAUAUUGGACAAUGGGCGCAAGCCUGAUCCAGCCAUGCCGCGUGUGUGAAGAAGGCCUUAUGGUUGUAAAGCACUUUAAGCGAGGAGGAGGCUACUUUAGAUAAUACUAGAGAUAGUGGACGUUACUCGCAGAAUAAGCACCGGCUAACUCUGUGCCAACAGCCGAGGUAAAUACAGAGGGUGGCAGCUUAAUCGGGAUUUACUGGGCGUAAAGAGCAGCUUAGCGGGUUAUUAAGCCAUUGUGAAUCCCAACUUAUUGGAAUAGGAUCAUAUGGUACUAAAUGUGGAAGAGGU
rnacentral:rRNA from 1 species